rnacentral:rRNA from 1 species
GUCCCAGUUCGGAUUGUAGUCUGCAACCCGACUACAUGAAGCCGGAAUCGCUAGUAAUCGCGGAUCAGAAUGCCGCGGUGAAUACGUUCCCGGGUCUUGUACACACCGCCCGUCACACCAUGGGAGUCGGAAAUGCCCGAAGUCAGUGACCCAACCGUAAGGAGGGAGCUGCCGAAGGUGGAGCCGGUAACUGGGGUGAAGUCGUAACAAGGUACC